GACGAACGCUGGCGGCGUGCUUAACACAUGCAAGUCGAACGCUGAAGCACCAGCUUGCUGGUGUGGAUGAGUGGCGAACGGGUGAGUAAUACGUGAGUAACCUGCCCUUGACUCUGGGAUAAGCCCGGGAAACUGGGUCUAAUACUGGAUGCUACAUGUCACCGCAUGGUGGUGUGUGGAAAGGGUUUACUGGUCUUGGAUGGGCUCACGGCCUAUCAGCUUGUUGGUGAGGUAAUGGCUCACCAAGGCGACGACGGGUAGCCGGCCUGAGAGGGUGACCGGCCACACUGGGACUGAGACACGGCCCAGACGCCUACGGGAGGCAGCAGUGGGGAAUAUUGCACAAUGGGCGAAAGCCUGAUGCAGCGACGCCGCGUGAGGGAGGACGGCCUUCGGGUUGUAAACCUCUUUCAGCAGGGAAGAAGCCACAAGUGACAGUACCUGCAGAAGAAGCGCCGGCUAACUACGUG
rnacentral:rRNA from 1 species